rnacentral:rRNA from 1 species
UACGAAGGGGGCUAGCGUUGCUCGGAAUCACUGGGCGUAAAGGGUGCGUAGGCGGGUUCUUAAGUCAGAGGUGAAAUCCUGGAGCUCAACUCCAGAACUGCCUUUGAUACUGAGAAGCUUGAGUCCGGGAGAGGUGAGUGGAACUGCGAGUGUAGAGGUGAAAUUCGUAGAUAUUCGCAAGAACACCAGUGGCGAAGGCGGCUCACUGGCCCGGUACUGACGCUGAGGUGCGAAAGCGUGGGGAGCAAACAGG